CCGCUCCGAGGGGGCGGCGGGGGGGGACACACCGCCCCGCCAGGAGCGGGGAGCGCCGCGCUCCACGCACCCUGCCCGGGGGGGCUCGUCCCCCCGCUCCGCCCGGCGCCGCGGAGGGAGCGGAGCCCCAGAAGGGGACAAAGAGUUUGUAGAAGAUUUAAGUGGACAGGAGACUACAGAAAACAAGAAAAAUGCCGAAACCAGUCAAUGUCAGAGUAACCACAAUGGAUGCAGAGUUGGAAUUUGCCAUCCAGCCCAAUACAACAGGCAAGCAGCUCUUUGAUCAGGUGGUGAAAACUGUUGGUCUUCGGGAAGUCUGGUUUUUUGGGCUACAGUAUGUGGACAGCAAAGGCUACUCAACUUGGCUGAAGCUAAAUAAAAAGGUAACACAGCAAGAUGUACGAAAAGAAAAUCCUUUGCAGUUCAAGUUCAGGGCCAAGUUUUUUCCAGAGGAUGUAUCUGAAGAAUUAAUUCAGGAAAUAACUCAGAGACUUUUCUUCCUGCAAGUCAAAGAAUCAAUCUUAAAUGAUGAAAUAUAUUGUCCACCAGAAACUGCAGUUCUUCUGGCUUCUUAUGCUGUCCAGUCCAAGUAUGCAGAUUACAGUAAGGAGAUCCAUAAACUAGGCUACCUAGCCAGUGACAGACUUCUCCCCCAGCGGGUGUUAGAACAGCACAAACUGACAAAAGAACAGUGGGAAGAAAGAAUACAGAACUGGCAUGAAGAGCACAGGGGAAUGUUAAGAGAAGAUUCUAUGAUGGAAUACCUUAAGAUAGCACAAGACUUGGAAAUGUAUGGAGUCAACUAUUUUGAAAUAAAGAAUAAAAAAGGAACUGAAUUGUGGCUGGGAGUUGAUGCUUUGGGUCUGAAUAUUUAUGAGCAUGAUGAUAAGCUGACACCCAAGAUUGGUUUUCCUUGGAGCGAAAUAAGAAACAUCUCUUUUAACGACAAAAAAUUCGUCAUAAAGCCAAUUGACAAAAAGGCCCCUGAUUUUGUUUUUUAUGCACCCCGUCUGAGAAUUAACAAGCGAAUUUUGGCACUUUGUAUGGGAAAUCAUGAAUUGUACAUGAGGAGGAGGAAACCUGAUACAAUUGAAGUGCAACAGAUGAAGGCCCAAGCUAGAGAAGAGAAACAUCAGAAACAAUUGGAAAGGGCACAAUUAGAAAAUGAGAAGAAGAAAAGGGAGAUAGCAGAAAAGGAGAAGGAAAGAAUAGAGCGUGAAAAGGAAGAACUAAUGGAACGCUUAAGACAAAUUGAGGAACAAACAAUGAAAGCUCAGAAAGAGCUAGAGGAACAGACUAGAAGAGCUCUAGAACUGGAUCAAGAACGAAAGCGUGCAAAAGAGGAAGCAGAGCGCCUGGAAAAAGAGCGUCGAGCAGCUGAAGUAGCUAAAGCUGCUCUAGCCAAGCAGGCAGCUGAUCAAAUGAAGAACCAGGAGCAGCUAGCAGCAGAAAUUGCUGAAUUCACAGCCAAGAUUGCACUUCUGGAGGAGGCCAAGAAAAAGAAAGAAGAAGAAGCUUCAGAAUGGCAGCACAAAGCUUUUGCAGCCCAAGAGGACUUGGAAAAGACCAAAGAAGAAUUGAAAUCUGUGAUGUCUGCUCCUCCUCCACCCCCUCCCCCACCAGUUAUUCCUCCAACAGAGAAUGAACAUGAUGAACAUGAUGAGAACAAUGCUGAAGCCAGUGCCGAACUGUCUUCUGAUGGUGUUAUGAAUCACAGGAGUGAAGAAGAACGGGUAACAGAAACACAGAAAAAUGAACGUGUUAAGAAACAGCUCCAGGCUUUAAGUUCUGAGUUGGCUCAAGCCAGAGAUGAAACCAAGAAAACACAAAAUGAUGUCCUUCAUGCUGAGAAUGUUAAAGCAGGCCGCGAUAAGUACAAGACUCUCCGACAAAUCCGACAAGGCAAUACAAAGCAGCGUAUUGAUGAGUUUGAAGCAAUGUGAGAGCUGUUAUUUUGCAUAUAUGUUCCUCGUAAAGCUGAACCACCAACUGAGAAAAAAAAGCAGGCCUUUGCAGAUUUGAUGGAUUGCACCCCACUUUGCCAAAGCACUUAAUACCAGGUUGACUACAGUGACUAGAAGACAAAUUUUUAGGGAAGCUAUUCCACAGUAAGGCAGUCUAUCAACCCUAGGUUUUGGGGGGGGGAGGGUGCGGAGGUUAAUAGCACUUUUUUCCUCAUCGUGUUUUCAGUUUCUUUGCUUGUUUUUUGUGUUGGUUUUUUUUUUUCCCCCCUUUGGAAACAGAUGUGAAGCAUAUAAUGACUGACAAGUGUAUAUAUUGCUUAACUUUAAGAAACAGAAAGAAGAAUGGAACUGAACCUAAACUGGAUAGGUACUAUUUCAGUAUGAAGUUUGAAAUUAGUUUUCAGUGUUAGCUACACCAUUAAGAGUUUGAUAUUUGCUGACUUUCAGUUUUGGUUGUUUUUUCCUUGUUUCGGGGGUUUUUUUGUGGUGUUUUUUUUUGUUUUGUUUUGGUUUUGUGUUUUGUUUUUUUGUUUUGUUUUGUUUUUUUCUCCCAAGUGAAAUUCUUUGGUGUUUCAUAUCCUGUCAUCAUUGAUGGUUUUCUUUGCCUACCUGUUCACAAAGGUCUGGAUGGCAGGUGGUAGUUCCAGGAAAUGUUUUUAAAUGGAACACUACCUGUGGGCAGCACAUGGCUGCUGAUAGGCUUGAUAGGGAGACCUGGACCUUUCUGGCAAGGGAGCAUAUGAAAACAUCAGUCCCAGGGAGGGGACAGUAUCCUACCUCACUACUAUGUACAUGAUGACCGGUCCUUCAAACACCAUGAAAAAACUGUUUAAAUUGACUUUCACUACACAGUGAAUAGUCAAUUGCUAGGAGACUUUACUCCUAGAAUUUUAUUUUACUUUAGGAUGGAUUUAUAGUGCUAAAUACUGUCUAACUGCCUUCUGUUGAGUUUAAAUUGUGAAAACAUCUGAUGUAUUUUAAAGCUGUAACCUGUCACUGGUAUACUAUCUUCUGGGAGGGGUGUAGAAUGUGCAUGUCAGUCAGCUUGGGUUUCCAAAUACAAAAUGAAAGUUCCCAGAAUUGGAGUAGAAGUGUUGUAGCUUCAGUUUUCAGUGAAGCUAGUAUUGUAAUUGUCAUAUCUGAUGUCAGAUCAUUAAGUCCUUUCCCUCUUGAAAAGGAGACCUGCUUUUUUGAGAAAUUUGCUUAUAAAUUGAACUUGUAAUAACAACCUUACAGUUAAUGUGGACUGCAGUUAUCCCUUAUGUUAGAGAACUCUACUAAAUACCUACAGUGGAAGAACCUAACUUUCUCUGAGGAUGGUUCAGCUUUUUUUCCUGUUUGAUAUUAUGCACUCAUAAAUUUACACUUAUCUAUUAAAAUUUGCCAUUUUAUUAAACAUUUUUUUCAUGCACAAUAGGUUUAAAUUUCUUACAAACAGUCCAACUAAGUUUUUUUUUAUUUUGCGGAGUAAAAGUUUGGCUAUGUGGGGUGACAUCAUGAAAAUUAAAUGAAGAUACAUUAAUAUAUUUUUGGUUUGUGGGGCUAAACAUAUCUGCUUCACCUUGAAGACUGAUGUGCAGAUGCUGUGCACAUGAUUCAAAAUGCUGCUUGGUGGAAGUUGGUGUUUCAACUUGCAGUGCAUUGUAAGAACAGUUUUUGUUUCAUAGGCUUCAUACACCGAAGCUUAAGCAAAUUUCUGAAGUAUUCAAACAGUUUGCCAUAGCAGGUGAAAUACUGUGCUUCCAGUGAGUUUUCGUUUUUCCCUGGAAAGUGUGCACUAACACUGAUACAUCAGUUUCAGUGUUGGGAAAAAACACCAGUAAAGUUUAUUGUUCAUAAAUCUACAACAUGUAGGGUAGGGCUAAAUGAAUUGGAUCCAUUUAUAAAGCUGUGUGAUUAUUUUUUUUUCUUUUUUCUUUUUUUUUUUUUUGUUUUGUUUGUUUGUUUUGUUUUUUAAAAUCUAAACAACCAGGAACAACCAUUUGUAAUACAGACUUUCACAAUGAACAAAGUGGUAAUAGCUGCUGUCACCAGCAGUUGGGAACACUUACUGGUGCAGAAAUACUAAGAAUACAUUUAAUGAUUACUUGGUGAAGUAAUUUUCCACAUGCUUUUUCCUUUAGCAUCAUGUUUUUGUGUUGUACAAUUAAGCUACAAUUACAUCUACUAUUUUGGAUAACAUUCAUUGGUUAACAAUAAAGAGAUAAAGUUAA